UUAUAGGCUGAAAGGGUUCGUAGAAUUGUAAUUCCAUAUGGAAUUUACUAGAGUUAAAUAAUAAGAUAUAAGAAUUAUAAGAGUAAUGGUUAAAUAUAUUAAUACUUAUAAGACUAUUAAGACAUGAAAAUCUAUAUCAAUAAUCAACUGACAUUGAGGAACGAAAGCUAAAGUAGCGAAACGGAUUAGUUACCCGUAUAGUUUUAGCAGUAAACGAUGAAUGUUAAAGUCAGAUAAAAGAGUAUAAUCUCAAUAAAAUAUCUAGUCUUAAAGUGAAAACGUAAACAUUCCGCCUGGGGAGUAUAAACGCAAGUUAUAAACUCAAAACUGUAGACGGUAUAAGUUAUACA
rnacentral:rRNA from 1 species